GUGAGGAAUAUUGGUCAAUGGCCGGAAGGCUGAACCAGCCAUGCCGCGUGAAGGUCAGUGCCCUAUGGGCGUUAAACUUCUUUUGUGCGGGAGCAAUAAGGUCCACGUGUGGGCCGACGAGAGUACCGUACGAAUAAGCAUCGGCUAACUCCGUGCCAGCAGCCGCGGUAAUACGGGGGAUGCAAGCGUUAUCCGGAUUUAUUGGGUUUAAAGGGUGCGUAGGCUGUAAGGUAAGUCAGCGGUGAAAUGCCCCCGCUCAACGGGGUGAAGUGCCAUUGAUACUGCCUUGCUGGAAUGCGGAUGCCGUGGGAGGAAUGUGUGGUGUAGCGGUGAAAUGCAUAGAUAUCACACAGAACACCGAUUGCGAAGGCAUCUCACGAAUCCGCGAUUGACGCUGAUGCACGAAAGCGUGGGUAUCAAACAGGA
rnacentral:rRNA from 1 species